rnacentral:lncRNA from 1 species
ACAUGGUGAAACCCCGUCUCUACUAAAAAUACAAAAAUUAACCGGGCAUGGUGGUGGGCACCUGUAAUCCCAGCUACUUGGGAGGCUGAGGCAUGAGAACUGCUUGAACCUGGGAGGCGGAGGGUACAGUGAGCCGAGAUUGUGCCACUGCACUCCAGCCUGGGAGACAGAGUGAGACCCUGUCUGGAAAAAAACCAACAAAAAAACACUCCUAACCCCUGUGUGAGGUGGGUAUUAUUAUUUCCAUUUUAUGGAUGUUAUAACUGAGGCAGAGAAGAAAUUAAACUAGGAAGCAAGGAUCUGAAGUGAUUUCUGCCUAGGUGGGAUAGGAGGGGUUGGGCUUAGGACUUGAAAGCCUAAUUGAAAACCAAAAGCCAAUCUCUUAAUUUAUUCUGGCCCUUGACAAGAGAUUUGGUGAAUGGUUCAGAAAGAUUUUUGGUACAGACAAGUUCCAGGGCUUGAAAGUGAAAAGUAGUUACAGGCCAUGUGUUUGGUCUUUGCAGGUCUUGGGAUACAUGUUCUCAAGGUACCUUGAGUGUUUGGGGGGUUUCUAGCCUCAGUGGGUUCUUGACAAAUGUGCAUCAGUUGGAUGCUGAAGACAAACCAAAGUAGGAGACCAACAAGCACUUUAAGGGUGGUCGGGGGUUGACCUCAAAUCUGGAACUUUAUUCAUCACAGACUAUGGCACUAUAGAGAACUGUGGGCUCUCUUCCUUAGAGCAGAUAGACAGCCAGAGACUGGGACUCCCUGGGCUGGAUGAUCACAAAGCACAUUGUAAACACAGCAGAGCAGAGCAGGUUUAGAGUUGUUAUACAAAUAAAUUUUGGUCUUCAUUGAUUCCACUUAGGAACAUUUUGUUGCAGGAAUAUUACUGAUUAUGGAUCCUACCUCAGCUGACACUGGGGGUGAGAGGUACAUUGCCAUCCUGAGAGACAGGGAGCAGAGGACCCCCUCCAAUCCCCCGACCUACAAGGCAUUCACAGCAGUCCUCCUGCCAAUUCUCACUGCCUUAGCUCCCUAAAGGCCCAGAAUAAGAUGCGUCCUCAGACCAAGUAUCCACCUGGUGGGGUUAGCCACAAUGCCCCAUAGCCUGGGCCUGGCUUAGUGGGUGAGGUGGAAGUUCCCAAGUCUCCAUCCACCUGCCAAAGCAAAUUCAUGACUGUUUGGGUUACAGGAAGAAGGGAUAUUGGGGCCUGUCCCAACUAGCUGGGAAACUCAGGAGGCAGGCCUCCAGGACUGGAACUAAUAAUACAGGGUUCCACAACGCACCAGCAAGGGAAUAGGCAGCUCAGGACAAUAAUGUCCUGGAGUUUGCAACCUGGUGGUAACUUAGCUCAGUAUUAGCCAGGUGAAAGCCAUGAAUACAACAGAUUUUUCUGUUCCAAACUAGAACCAAUGGAGGGAUAACACCCAUGGGGCCUCAAUACAGCCACUAGAAAGAACCAUGACUAAAGGGAGCAGAACUGAGGAACUAAGACCAGCUAGAAUUACAAAAUUACCACUUUACCACCCAAGACACACACACACCAAAAAAGAUC